rnacentral:misc_RNA from 1 species
GAUGAAGAACGUAGCGAAAUGCGAUAAGUAAUGUGAAUUGCAGAAUUCAGUGAAUCAUCGAAUCUUUGAACGCACCUUGCGCUCCUUGGUAUUCCGAGGAGCAUGCCUGUUUGAGUGUCAUUAAUAUAUCAACCUCUUCAGCUUAUGCUUGUUGAGUGUUGGAUGGUGGGGGUUUGCUGGUGUCUUAUGAAGUCAGCUCCUCUGAAAUGCAUUAGCGGAACAAUUUGUUGACCGUUCAUUGGUGUGAUAAAAAUAUCUACGCUAUUGACGUCAGUCAGUUCAGCUUCUAACAGUCCAUUGACUUGGACAAAUUUUUCAUUAAUGUGACCUCAAAUCAGGUAGGACUACCCGCUGAACUUAAGCAUAUCAAUAGCGGAGG